rnacentral:rRNA from 1 species
GAUGAACGCUGACAGAAUGCUUAACACAUGCAAGUCGAUUCAAGUUACCUUCGGGUAAUGAGGAUGGCGGACGGGUGAGUAACGCGUAAGGAACUUGCCUCUUGGUCUGGGACAACUGUUGGAAACGACAGCUAAUACCGGAUAUUAUGAGAUUCUCGCAUGGGAAACUUAUGAAAGCUAUAUGCGCCAAGAGAGAGCCUUGCGUUCCAUUAGCUAGUUGGUGGGGUAACGGCCCACCAAGGCGACGAUGGAUAGCCGGCCUGAGAGGGUGAACGGCCACAAGGGGACUGAGACACGGCCCUUACUCCUACGGGAGGCAGCAGUGGGGAAUAUUGGACAAUGGGCCACAAGCCUGAUCCAGCAAUUCUGUGUGCACGAUGAAGGUCUUCGGAUUGUAAAGUGCUUUCAGUUGGGAAGAAGAAAGUGACGGUACCAACAGAAGAAGCGACGGCUAAAUACGUGCCAGCAGCCGCGGUAAUACGUAUGUCGCAAGCGUUAUCCGGAUUUAUUGGGCGUAAAGCGCGUCUAGGCGGAAAAAUAAGUCUGAUGUUAAAAUGCGGGGCUCAACUCCGUAUUGCGUUGNAAACUGUUUUUCUAGAGUACUGGAGAGGUGGGCGGAACUACAAGUGUAGAGNUGAAAUUCGUAGAUAUUUGUAGGAAUGCC